AAUUGAUUUUUCCCUGUCUCAGAAU
rnacentral:piRNA from 1 species